GAUGAACGCUGGCGGCGUGCCUAAUACAUGCAAGUCGAGCGAACAGACGAGGAGCUUGCUCCUCUGACGUUAGCGGCGGACGGGUGAGUAACACGUGGAUACCUACCUAUAAGACUGGGAUAACUUCGGGAAACCGGAGCUAAUACCGGAUAAUAUAUUGAACCGCAUGGUUCAAUAGUGAAAGACGGUUUUGCUGUCACUUAUAGAUGGAUCCGCGCCGCAUUAGCUAGUUGGUAAGGUAACGGCUUACCAAGGCAACGAUGCGUAGCCGCCCUGAGAGGGUGAUCGGCCACACUGUAACUGAGACACGGUCCAGACUCCUACGGGAGGCAGCAGUAGGGAAUCUUCCGCAAUGGGCGAAAGCUUGACGGAGCAACGCCGCGUGAGUGAUGACGGUCUUCGGAUCGUAAGACUCUGUUAUUAGGGAAGAACAAAUGUGUAAGUAACUAUGCACGUCUUGCCGGUACCUAAUCAGAAAGCCACGGCUAACUCCGUG
rnacentral:rRNA from 1 species